CAUGAGAAGUGCAUCUAAACCACCUUCUUGCACAAUCUUUUCCUGAUUGCUGUCUUCAGCUGCAAGAUUGGCUACCACCUUCACAGCAUGAAUUUGGACGUCCAAAUCAACUGAUGACAACAAAGAGAUUAUCUUCUGGACACCAACUUCUUCAAUUAUCUUUGACAUUGUAUUCUGAUGGGCAAAAAUCCUUUCCCUUGAUUCAGUUGAUCUGUG
rnacentral:misc_RNA from 1 species